GGGAAUCUGUCAUCCAAAAUACCUGUCAGCCUAGAGUAUGUAGACGGGUGGGUGGCAAUCUCCUGUGUAAGCGGUGAAAAUGCGCUAGAUAAUAGGAAAGGCAACACCCAGUGGCGAAUGGCGACCACCUGGACUGAUACUGACACUGAGGUGCGACAGCGUGGGGAGCAAACAGGAUUAGAUACCAUGGUAGUCCACGCCGUAAACGAUGUCAACUAGCCGUUGGGAGCCUUGAGCUCUUAGUGGCGCAGCUAACGCAUUAAGUUGACCGCCUGGUGAGUACGGCCGCAAGGUUAAAACUCAAAUGAAUUGACGGGGG
rnacentral:rRNA from 1 species